rnacentral:lncRNA from 1 species
UUCUGGAAAUUUCAUUGGGAAUCUCAGAAAAGAGGCAUGCUCCUUCUAGGAGAGUUGCUAAGCUAUUAGGGUUUAAGCUUGGAGCUACAAGAAGCUAUUUUGCCACUAAGAGAGGAGAGCCUGCCUGAGGGUGAAGCCAAAUGCAUAGGGAAGGCAGAACCAGAGAUGGUGAGCCACAGGUUCCUGAUAUCUUCUGGCCCCUGUGUUCACCUGUCUGAAUCUGUCCGCUCUGGACUUUUC